rnacentral:rRNA from 1 species
UACAGAGGGUGCUAGCGUUAAUCGGAAUUACUGGGCGUAAAGCGCAUGUAGGUGGGUAUUUAAGUCGGUUGUGAAAUCCCCGGGCUCAACCUGGGAAUCGCAUUCGAUACUGAAUAUCUAGAGUAUGAUAGAGGGAGGUGGAAUUUCCGGUGUAGCGGUGAAAUGCGUAGAUAUCGGAAAGAACAUCAGUGGCGAAGGCGGCCUCCUGGAUCAAUACUGACACUUAGGUGCGAAAGCGUGGGGAGCAAAC